rnacentral:lncRNA from 1 species
GGGUCUGGUCAACCUGCAGCCCCAAGACAUCAUUGCAAAAGCUCAGAGGACACAGGAACACCCAGAAUAUUGUGAGGCAGAAUAAUAACUCAGGUCAUCAGUGUAGGAGCAUGGGCUUUGAGGCAUUUCUCGAUAUGGCUAUUGAAUGACAUUUGUGGUUUAAGGGCUCCAGAGAGUAAUUCCCUACAGGCCUUGUUUACUAUGGGAAAUGCACCUUCCCCCACAUGGACCUUAAUCUCUAGCCCACUCCUCAACUGGUAGAAAAGGAAUGAGAAGAAGGGUGACUCAGUCUAAGGAAAGAGAAGGACAAAGAAAUCAUAAAACUUAGGGGACAUUUCCACCCCUAAGACCCCUGUUGGACAAGGACUGAUAUAGGUAACUGGGCAGGGCCAAUGGGAGAGAACCAUAUCUUUCUGGACCCCACAUUGAUACCCUCCCCCUAUAGGAAAAUGCGGGGGGGGGUCCUCCUCCUCCCAACAGCCCUGGGAGCUGUUUGCUUUCCUUUAAUAAAGACUUUGCUUGCUUGCUGCCUGUGUGUUCGUGGAGUUCAUUCUCUAACUGCUUGAACAAGAACCUGGAUUCCGGUAACAGCUUUUCAGUAUCAACUGCUCCAUCUGCCACAGUAAGAUUUCACAUUCAGCUCCACUGACCCUGGAGCCCAUUCAUUUGUUCACGUGUGUUUGUUUGUCUGCUCGGCAAACAUCAGCCACUCUUACCAACAUGCCAGGCAUUGCUGGAGACACCGUGGACAUCUAGGCAGACAAGGUUCAUGGAGUUGACCCUGGUCCCUGGCCCCACUUGGUAGGACAUAAAAGAUGGGAGGAUUUUAUUUUGUCCUGCCUCUGCCUUCAGCAAAACUCACCUUGUUUCCACAGGUCAAAGGGAUCCCCAGCCCUUCCUUUUCAUUCUGCAUGGCCUGGCUUUAAAUCCCAGCCUAUGCCGGGUUAUAACCCAUCUCUUUACCUUCCCGCAGCCCUGGGGAAGGCUUGAGGUCUGGGGUUGGUGAGAAUCAAGGACAGAUAUGAGUCUUUGCACCCCUCGUUCUUCUGGGUUUCUUGUGUGAAAACAGUUGCAUAGAAAUCACACCUGCAACAUUAAAAAAAAAAAAACAAAACCAAACAAACAAACAAACAACUUUUCAGUCUCAAGGUGGCUUUAAAUCACAGUGGUUGUGGCUACUUGGGAAUUUCCUGAAGGUGGUGGCAGGGAAGGGACGAGGAGCCAGGAGGUACAGUGCUACAGACACACAGCUCAAAGUUGCACUUCAGCCCCCUUAUAACCCCUGAGAAACCUCACCCAAGUGAUUAUGAUGUCAGAGCUGGGAUGCCUUAGCCCCCAAAUGACAAAUCAUCUCUGUGGUCUUACCCUGUCAAUUUUGGACAAACAUUUGAUUGCAAUAUAAUUUAUAUACAGGCAGGUGCACAAAGCUUGGAAAAUUAGCACAAAGGAAACACACACAUCGCCAAACUGCUCAAUAGGUGGGACAGUAUUAUUAGCCUCCAAACAUGUCCCUUCAGAUAUU